rnacentral:rRNA from 1 species
GAAACGGGUGGGCCCUCGAACUCCUGUGUGGCGGGAGGAUUCAGUCGGAACGGGUCGCGGCUCGGCGUGUAAUGCGGCAAUGCCUCUAUGCGGAUCCGUCCGCAUGGUAUCCUGCGGUUCGCCCCGGCGCUUCUCCACCGACGCAUUUCCUCCCGCUCCGAGGACGCCGCGGCCGGUCGGGCACGAAGAAGAGUCUUCCGAGAGGGCGAGGAGAGACAGAGACACGACGUGGGACCCCGGUCCCGUCUCCUCCGACCUGCGCCCGGGCGGACGCCCGACCGAGGCGACCUGGGGGCCCGUUCCCAUGGGCCCCGCCGUCCCCUUUCCCGCCUCCCGGCGGGGAGAAAGCGCGCGCUUCGCGACGGCGAGCGUCGUCGGCGCGGGUCCUACCGCCUCGCGCGGUGUUCUCCGCGUCCGGCGCCGCCGGUCUCGCGAUCCCGAGAGUCGUGCCCGCGGGGGAAAGAGAGGCGAGGACGGCCCGCGGCGAGUAGGUCGGUCACCCACCCGUCCCGUCUUGAAACACGGACCAAGGAGUCUGACACGUGCGCGAGUCGACGGGACUUGGACAGGCCCGGAGGCGGAAUGAAAGUGAGCGCGCGGCGCCCCCUCCGGGGCGGCGGCCGCGCGGAGUCGAGAUUCCGCGCCCGCGGAGGCGCGGACGCAUCGACGGCCCGUCUCUUCCGACUCGUCGGAGGGGCGGAGUCCGAGCGCACGCGUCGGUACCCGAAAGACGGCGAACUAUGCUUGGCCAGGAUGAAUGCAGUGGAAACUCUGCUGGAAGUCCGAAGCGGUUCUGACGUGCAAAUCGAUUGUCGGAGCUGGGUAUAGG